UUCUCCUAUAUAUAAUUACAACUUUUCAAGCCCCAUAUAUUUGUUUCAUAUAACGAAGUCAAUGUAUAUAAUUCAAUGGUAGAAAACCUUUUCCCCUGAUGCUACUAUAAUUCAUUCACAUGCAUGUAAUGAUGUUAUGGAACAUCUUUUCCUAUUCUUUUAUCAAGUAAUAUAAGAAUUGGAAUGUGGAUGUGAAUGUUAAGCUUUAAGUUAAGAAUGGUGAUAGGAAAACACGCUUAUUUCACUCUACAACAUUAGAGAGAAGCUGCAGAAUCUGAAUCGUAUUCAUUGAGCAGGCAAACAGUAGGAUUUUUGAUACACAAGACAAGUUUAUGCUACAGUUUGUCGACUACUAUAAAAAGCUUUGGGUGCAUGAUAAUAUUAACAAGGAUGAAUAGGAAAAGGUUAUCGAUGAACCUUACAAAAAGCAGCAGAUUCAUCUGACCUCUUUCCACCAAGUGUUCACCUGUUUGUUGAUCCUGGCCUGCUGACCAGAUAUGAUACUCUUUCUCGGGAUUUCCUGUCUCCCUCCCAUGUUGGCUUGGUUCAAGUGUCUCUUCUAUAUUGUACUAACCUUCUAAUUUCCUUCUAUUUAUUAUUAUAUGGUUCUCUUCUCUCCAAGGUUUUACAAUAAGAGCCUUUGUAAUAUUAUAACUAGUAUGACUGUUUUAAUUGCUAAAAAAUUACUAUAACUGUUUUAGAAGUCUCCUAUAACAGUUCUUACGUACUACAACAACAACAAAAAAAAAAGUUGAUGAGCAGUUGCUGCUUGGUCGAAUUAUCAUUUUUA
rnacentral:lncRNA from 1 species